UACGUAGGGUGCGAGCGUUGUCCGGAAUUAUUGGGCGUAAAGAGCUCGUAGGCGGUUUGUCACGUCUGCUGUGAAAUCCCGAGGCUCAACCUCGGGCCUGCAGUGGGUACGGGCAGACUGGAGUGCGGUAGGGGAGAAUGGAAUUCCCGGUGUAGCGGUGAAAUGCGCAGAUAUCGGGAGGAACACCGGUGGCGAAGGCGGUUCUCUGGGCCUUACCUGACGCUGAGGAGCGAAAGCGUGGGGAGCGAACAGG
rnacentral:rRNA from 1 species